rnacentral:lncRNA from 1 species
UGUAUAACCAACUACGGCUGCAGAAUAUACAGAGUCUCUGGUGUUGAUGGAAAGGAUUGUUUACCUAGAGGCAGCUUGGUAUGGCAUGUUGCAAAGCAUUCUGUUUGAUUAACAGAUAAUAGAUACUGCAGACACUAAGCAAAUUAUACUUACCUAGCAGUUGCAGUAUUCCAGCCAUGGAGUCAUAAUCUUAGAAUAAAGGUCUCGGUGUUUAGGUGAAUCUGAGGAAAGUCCAAAAUAUUGCAACUGUUCCAGUUGUUAAAAUUGUAAGCAAAGACGUAUGCUGGCUUUAACACAUCAACAAGACAACAAAACACUCAUUUCAUAUGCUGGCUCCAGUGAUGUUAAUUCAGCUGCAGAUACUUCUGUUCUCAAAUAUGUAUCGACAGUACCUGUGUCAGAUGUACUGGCAAACAUGUUAUAUCUUCAUUUUUGUCGAGCCCGCUUGCGGAAGCAAAGAUAGAUGUCCAAAUGGCUGUUCUGUGUAUGUGCGUGUGUGCGUCCGUCCGUCCGUCAGGAUUUGUUUGUCCGGACCAUAACUUUGAUAUGC